rnacentral:rRNA from 1 species
UACGUAGGGGGCAAGCGUUGUCCGGAAUCAUUGGGCGUAAAGCGCGUGUAGGCGGCUUGGUAAGUCCGCUCUGAAAGCCCGGGGCUCAACCCCGGGAGGCGGGUGGAUACUGUCAAGCUCGAGUCCGGAAGAGGCGAGUGGAAUUCCUGGUGUAGCGGUGAAAUGCGCAGAUAUCAGGAAGAACACCUAUGGCGAAGGCAGCUCUCUGGGACGGUACUGACGCUGAGACGCGAAAGCGUGGGGAGCGAACAGG